CGUUAGGUACAUAGAUUCACGUGCAAUCGCGACUAUCUUGUCGGCGAGCAUAAGCAUCGCGCGCAUUUUCCCGGUAAUUGCGUUGUAGCUACGAGGAUGCAUACAUCAGGAACUUGUAAGUGUCCGGUAUUAAGAGAAAUGGUGUAAUUGUCAGGAAUCCGAGGUCAAACGGACUAUAGGGCGACACGGUCUGUGGGUAUCUUUGAAUACACACCGGAUGCAGAACAUUUACGAUAACACUAGCUAUUUGCAGACUAAAGUGACUAACCAGGGGAAUCGCUUUGGUAAACGAAAGGUUCAAUUAUCUCUGAAUACGCGGAUAAAGGAAAAGAGUACACUCUGUGACAAAAGGACAGGACAAUUGAUAUUUUCGCAAUGCUUUUCGAGAUUAAUGAAUAGAUGAGAGUUUCCGUCGCGUUUGUAUUGUGUAAUUUUCUGGAAAAGUGUACGCGAAAUGUCAUUAGUAAUUACGGAGCAGUUGAGUUGACUUUUUGAAAUUUCUUUAUAGAAAUUUGAAAGGUGCAUCUGAUGAGACUUUAAUUGAUUUGCAAUUCAGUUUGUGUAUUGUAUCACUUUCAUGAAUGAUUUCUCUGAGAAACAUCUGUUACCUGUUCAAUAAUUGCAAAAUGAAGAAAUCAUGAGUGGAUCAUUUUAGUGUGAAGAAAAUCACGGGGGAAAACAGGAAAAGUAUCUACUUACUUGCAAACUGACAAGUUAAUAGUAUAUUUAAGUUAUAAGUAUAUACUUCUGAAUGAAAAAUAAAUGUUCACCUUAAUACUUAGAAAUACUUUCUCUCUAGCCAAUGACAUCAAGGAAAUGUUCAGGUAAUAAUUCAUACAGUUCUUUCAAUGGUUUUUGUUCAUAUUCCCUUGUUAACUUUCCCACAACACAUUCUACCAUCAAUCAUUCAAUCAUACUACGGAUUAUGAAAUUCAUAACAAAGUUAGUACUAUAGUUAUAGCCUGUAAAGAUCACAUUCAUUUCUUUUUGCAAUGUAUAUUCUUGUUCAGCAAGAAACUCUUUCACAUCUUAUGCAACAAACUUUGUGACACAU